rnacentral:rRNA from 1 species
AUAGCGUAUAUUAAAGUUGUUGCAGUUAAAAAGCUCGUAGUUGAACUUCUGGUCGUGGCAGCCGGUCCGCCCCUCACGGGGUGUGCACCUGGUUUCUGCAGCCAUCCUCGCGGAGAGCGCGUCUGUCCUUUACUGGUCGGGCGCGGGAUCCGCGUCAUUUACUGUGAGCAAAAUAGAGUGUUCAAAGCAGGCUUAGGCCGUUGAAUACAUUAGCAUGGAAUAAUAAGAUAGGACCUUGGUCUAUUUUGUUGGUUUGUACUCCAAGGUAAUGAUUAAUAGGGAUAGUUGGGGGUAUUCGUAUUCAAUUGUCAGAGGUGAAAUUCUUGGAUUUAUGGAAGACGAACUACUG